rnacentral:rRNA from 1 species
GAGCAGCAGUGGGGAAUAUUGCACAAUGGGCGAAAGCCUGAUGCAGCGACGCCGCGUGGGGGAUGACGGCCUUCGGGUUGUAAACCCCUUUCAGUAGGGAAGAAGCGAGAGUGACGGUACCUGCAGAAGAAGCGCCGGCUAACUACGUGCCAGCAGCCGCGGUAAUACGUAGGGCGCAAGCGUUGUCCGGAAUUAUUGGGCGUAAAGAGCUUGUAGGUGGCUUGUCGCGUCUGCCGUGAAAACCCGAGGCUCAACCUCGGGCGUGCGGUGGGUACGGGCAGGCUAGAGUGUGGUAGGGGAGACUGGAACUCCUGGUGUAGCGGUGAAAUGCGCAGAUAUCAGGAAGAACACCGAUGGCGAAGGCAGGUCUCUGGGCCAUUACUGACACUGAGAAGCGAAAGCAUGGGUAGCGAACAGGAUUAGAUACCCUGGUAGUCCAUGCCGUAAACGUUGGGCACUAGGUGUGGGGGACAUUCCACGUUUUCCGCGCCGUAGCUAACGCAUUAAGUGCCCCGCCUGGGGAGUACGGCCGCAAGGCUAAAACUCAAAGGAAUUGACGGGGGCCCGCACAAGCGGCGGAGCAUGCUGAUUAAUUCGAUGCAACGCGAAGAACCUUACCAAGGCUUGACAUGCA